AAAAACCUUGACAAACUCCUUUGUCUCUGUUUUUGUUUAUGUUUAAGGUUUUACGUUUCGAGCGGCUUGAACUCAUUAUCUAAUUAUGAGAGAUCAUUAUCAUUAUAUAAUGACCUAGCUUUACUUUACGUGAAGGAGGUAAUGUGGGCUGAGCCCAUUAACACAUCUAAUCUCUUCUUAAGAGAUGCACGUGUAAUUCUCCAUAUUACAUAUAUAAUUAUAUCACAUAUAAUGUAUAUAGUAAUCCCUUAAGAACAUAACAUAUUAUUAAUCUAGUUUGC
rnacentral:lncRNA from 1 species